rnacentral:rRNA from 1 species
AUUGAACGCUGGCGGCAGGCCUAACACAUGCAAGUCGAGCGGAUGAAGGGAGCUUGCUCCUGGAUUCAGCGGCGGACGGGUGAGUAAUGCCUAGGAAUCUGCCUGGUAGUGGGGGAUAACGUCCGGAAACGGGCGCUAAUACCGCAUACGUCCUGAGGGAGAAAGUGGGGGAUCUUCGGACCUCACGCUAUCAGAUGAGCCUAGGUCGGAUUAGCUAGUUGGUGGGGUAAAGGCCUACCAAGGCGACGAUCCGUAACUGGUCUGAGAGGAUGAUCAGUCACACUGGAACUGAGACACGGUCCAGACUCCUACGGGAGGCAGCAGUGGGGAAUAUUGGACAAUGGGCGAAAGCCUGAUCCAGCCAUGCCGCGUGUGUGAAGAAGGUCUUCGGAUUGUAAAGCACUUUAAGUUGGGAGGAAGGGCAGUAGGUUAAUACCUUGCUGUUUUGACGUUACCAACAGAAUAAGCACCGGCUAACUUCG